UUAAAACACCAGAUCCCGUAUGAUCACCGAAGUUAAUCAACGUCGAACCUGAUUAGUACCUAAUUGGGUGACCGUUUCAUAAUACUAAGUGUUGUAAG